UGAGGAAUAACAGUGCAAUCCUUCUUUGGCACCAUACAAGACAUAGCAAUAGCAUACACAUGUCUUGUGUUGUGCCAAAGGAGAAUUGCCCUGCCAUUCACUC
rnacentral:pre_miRNA from 1 species